AGCAGUCGCCACGGGAAUACGUAGGUGGCAAGCGUUGUCCGGAAUUAUUGGGCGUAAAGGGCUCGCAGGCGGUUUCUUAAGUCUGAUGUGAAAGCCCCCGGCUCAACCGGGGAGGGUCAUUGGAAACUGGGAAACUUGAGUGCAGAAGAGGAGAGUGGAAUUCCACGUGUAGCGGUGAAAUGCGUAGAGAUGUGGAGGAACACCAGUGGCGAAGGCGACUCUCUGGUCUGUAACUGACGCUGAGGAGCGAAAGCGUGGGGAGCGAACAGGAUUAGAUACCCGCGUAGUCCAUGUCUCUUAUAU
rnacentral:rRNA from 1 species